GGACCCGCACAAGUAGUGGAGCAUGUGGUUUAAUUCGAAGAUACGCGCAGAACCUUACCAACACUUGACAUGUUCGUCGCGACUUUAAGAGAUUAAAGUUUUCGGUUCGGCCGGACGAAACACAGGUGCUGCAUGGCUGUCGUCAGCUCGUGUCGUGAGAUGUUGGGUUAAGUCCCGCAACGAGCGCAACCCUCACUUUUAGUUGCCAUCAUUAAGUUGGGCACUCUGAAAGAACUGCCAGUGAUAAGCUGGAGGAAGGUGGGGAUGACGUCAAGUCCUCAUGGCCCUUACGUGUUGGGCUACACACGUGCUACAAUGGUAUUUACAACAGGAAGCAAGACUGCGAAGUUAAGCAAAUCCCUAAAAAAUACCUCAGUUCGGAUUGCACUCUGCAACUCGAGUGCAUGAAGCUGGAAUUACUAGUAAUCG
rnacentral:rRNA from 1 species